UUCGCAAUGCCCGAAAGGGUGACGAAGCGACGCCGCGUGUGGGAAGAAGGCCUUCGGGUUGUAAACCACUGUGGGAGUUAGGAAGUGUGGAGGUGUUAAUAGCGCUUUCACUUGACUAUAGCUCCAGAGGAAGCCACGGCUAACUCUGUGCCAGCAGCCGCGGUAAUACAGAGGCGGCAAGCGUUGUUCGGAAUUAUUGGGCGUAAAGAGCACGUAGGCGGCUCUGCAAGUCAGCUGUGAAAGCCUUCUGCUUAACGGAAGAGCGGCAGUUGAAACUACAGGGCUUGAGUGCGGGAGGGGAGAGUGGAACUUCUGGUGGAGCGGUGAAAUGCGUAGAUAUCAGAAGGAACGCCGGCGGCGAAAGCGGCUCUCUGGUCCGUAACUGACGCUGAGUGUGCGAAAGCUAGGGGAGCAAACGGGAUUAGAUACCCCGGUAGUCCUAGCCGUAAACGAUGGGCACUAAGUAGAGGGGUUUU
rnacentral:rRNA from 1 species